rnacentral:lncRNA from 1 species
GGGGGGGGGGGGAGCUGUCAAAUGAGGUGCUAUCUUACUUCUUAACAUAUUGUGCAUCAGAAUGUUUUCAGAUAUUGUUUUUUUUCCUUUCCUCUGGUUAUAAUUGUGACAUGAUAUCUUGAUCCCUUCAUCCUGAAUAACAUUGCUUGGUUAUUCUUUUCUUUACUAAAUUGACUUUUUGAGGAGUAUCUUCUCCUCAUCUGUCAUGUUAAAUACCCUCCUUUUGAAUGCUUUGUUGUAUAUUUUCCUUUACUAAAUUGGCCAUGAAAAGUAUCUCCUCAGUUGGCUUAUUUAAUUCUUUUCCUAUGUGUGCUUUGUUUUUACUGUAUGAUCUAACUUCAUAAUGAUCUGUAGACAAGCUCAGUUGGCUUAUUUAACUCUUUUCCGAUGUGUGCUUUUGUUUUUAAUGUAUGAUCGAACUUCGUAAUGAUCCGUAGAAAAGCUAGUGACUUUAAUACAUUAGCAUUUACAUCUCAACUUGAUUGCUCAGUUGUGUGUCAUAUAAAGCUUAAGAUUUAUAUAUUUUUAUGUUUAACUAGGAUGUGUGAACUGCCACUGGUCUGGGACGAAGAUAAAAAUGAAACUUGUUAGCACCUAUGGUCAGGUGAAUUCAAGGUAGAUUGUUGCUGGCCUGUGUAUAGAAAUGCUCCCUCUGUCCAAAAGAAUUGUACUUCCUUUUUGGGUUGUAACAAAGUGGUUUUACAACAACAACAAAGUGGUUUUACAACAACAACAAAGUGGUUUUAGUUUCUCUUAAAAAGGGACAGUUUUCUAUAUAACUCGAAAGUUACCUGGGAUGCAUUUCUACUCUAUGAAAUACCACUUUUAUUCUAUCUAUUAUCCAGACAAGAGAGGUUGAUCUGAUGUUAAGCAACCCCCACUUCCAACCGAGAGAUUGUGAGAUCGAGUCUCCCCAAGAGCAAGGUGGGAAGUUCUUGGAGGGAAGGAUGCCGGGGGUNN